UUGUUCACUACAUAAAAUUAAUGUAGUCUUAUGUCAUUUAUUUUUGUCGAUGUUAUAUAAUCUAUCAUGAUAUGUUUCUACUUAUUAAAAAAAAUUAAUAAUAAAAUUAACAGUAUAAAUAUGCCUAUGCAUCUCCAUGGCCAAAUUUACAAAUAUAUAUCUUUUAAAAAGAAUGAGAAUACCGAAAUUAUUAUAAGUAAUUAAUCUUGGAUAUCAAUUUAUAUUCAAUAUCAAUUAUCACAAAUCAUAAUUAAUAGGAUGAAGAAUCUUCAUUUCAUCUUAUGCGGCUUUACGAAAAAUGAUGCGCGUGGUAAUUUGGCAUUAUAAAUUCGUUUAGUUUCAUCCUAUUGACUCGACUCAUGAAAAAAAGAAUCUUCAAAAUUGGAAAUUCGUAUAAAAAAACUAACUAGCUAGUCAAAAAUGGCAUAAAUUGAGAUCAAAAUAAAUGGCUAUACAAGCAUCCCAACAUUAUGCCAUAAAGAAUCCCAUCUUAUGCAUAAAUUCUUUUCUUACCCUUAUAUAUUACUAAAAAUAUCAAAUUUUCAAAAAGAUUAUUAUAUAUAUGGGAGGGCUUUAAAGAUAAGAUCUCCUGUAUAUCUCUUUGUUGUUUUUGGUGCAUAAAUAAGUUGUAAACUUAAUUUUUUUUAUGUGAUGGUGUACAUUGUAGUUAUUUAGGAUAUCGUGUAAAUUUAUAAGAAAUUCUAAAUAAUUUAGAGUGUCAAAAUCCGAAUUCAAAAAAUAUGUUGCAUGCGUGCCUAUUUUUUGCAUGCGUGUGUGAAAUAAGCUACUUGAAACUUUGUUCGGGCAUUCUAAAUUCUCCAAAAUUUAUUAAAAAUUUGUAAAUAGUCUUAAAUAACUUCAACAUACACCGUCACAUAAAAAAAAAUAGAGUAACAACUUAACCAUGAGCCGAAAUUGAAAAAAAACCUACCGAUAAGUCCUUCCCAUAUAUAAUAUACUUUAAUAUUGGAUUCCAAAUGUGAAUACACUCAUAAAAAUAUUCAAAGGUUGAGUGGUAAGUGAUAAACCAUUUUCAAAGUGUCUCCAUUGCAAGUUCAACAAAUACCACUAACCACAUUGCUCAAAGUUGCUUUAGACUUUUUUUGGUCAAACUAGAAAUGGAACCAUGAAUAAAACAUUUAUUACUAUGCUCUCCUUUAUAUAAAGUGGUGUCUUUUUCAUCUAGAAAUGUUCAACUAGAAAUGUUCAACUAAUAAGAUAAGCCCAUCUUUCUUUCCUAUAAAUUUGAUACAAUCAUAUGAGGCCCUUAUUUCUUCACACAAUAUAGAAUGUGUGUGUGAGAGAGAUCAUGAUGAGGCUAAAUUAUCAACUAUUGUGGUUCCUUUUGCGCUUGUUCUUCAUUAUUCUUCUCUUUCAUUCAUAUAAUUCCGAUGCUGGCAGGGGAAACACUGGUCAGUCUACACCUCCAUCUCCGCAAGCGAGCAAUCCUACUGUAGGUUCUGUUAAAGUUCCGUAGCUUACUCGUUGUUCGGCUACGUACAAUGACGGAGCCAAAAUUAAUAUAGAAAAGGGCAACUCUUAAUCUCUUAACUCUAUCAUUGGUUAGAGAUGACCAAAGAAUCUACUGAUGUAGUUUGUUUUUGUUGAGAUAAAAUAAUUUGUCAUUAUAUGUUUCUACUUAUUAAAAAAAAUGUCUUUAGAAUAAGCAUUUACUAUUGAGUAUAGAGAUAUGCCUAUGCAUUUUCAUGGCCAAAUUUACAAAUUUUUGAAAUAGUGUGAGAAUAGAGAAUUUAUAAGUAGUUGAUUUUGGAUCUCAAUUUAUAUUUAAUAUUCCAUGAUUCUUA